GCUCUGGUAGUGUAGUCCGGCCAAUCAUAUUGCCCUCUCGAGGCAAUGACCGGGGUUCAAAUCCCCGCCGGAGCA
rfam:Halorubrum vacuolatum strain DSM 8800 genome assembly, contig: Ga0170423_108